GGGGAAUUUUGGACAAUGGGCGAAAGCCUGAUCCAGCCAUGCCGCGUGUCUGAAGAAGGCCUUCGGGUUGUAAAGGACUUUAGUCAGGGAAGAAAAGCACAAAGUUAAUACCUUUGUGUUAUGACGGUACCUGAAGAAUAAGCACCGGCUAACUACGUGCCAGCAGCCGCGGUAAUACGUAGGGUGCAAGCGUUAAUCGGAAUUACUGGGCGUAAAGCGAGUGCAGGCGGUUAUUUAAGCCAGAUGUGAAAUCCCCGAGCUCAACUUGGGACGUGCAUUUGGAACUGGGUAACUAGAGUGUGUCAGAGGGGGGUAGAAUUCCACGUGUAGCAGUGAAAUGCGUAGAGAUGUGGAGGAAUACCGAUGGCGAAGGCAGCCCCCUGGGAUAACACUGACGCUCAUACUCGAAAGCGUGGGUAGCAAACAGGAUUAGAUACCCUGGUAGUCCACGCCCUAAACGAUGUCAAUUAGCUGUUGGGGGAUUAAAGGCCCUUGGUAGCGUAGCUAACGCGUGAAAUUGACCGCCUGGGGAGUACGGUCGCAAGAUUAAAACUCAAAGGAAUUGACGGGGACCCGCACAAGCGGUGGAUGAUGUGGAUUAAUUCGAUGCAACGCGAAAACCUUACCUAGCCUUGACAUGUAUGGAAUUCUGGUGAAAGCUGGAAGUGCCUUCGGAACCAUAACACAGGUGCUGCAUGGCUGUCGUCAGCUCGUGUCGUGAGAUGUUGGGUUAAGUCCC
rnacentral:rRNA from 1 species